UACCUUAAUCAAAUAUUAAUUUGAGAUUAUAAUACUCCUAAACAUAAAAGCUAAAACUAUAAAAUUUUUGUGGAAAAAUAAUAGAACAUCUUAGUGAUUUAAGAGUCGACAAAAAUUUUUUGGGUCACGGAAAGCAAUAACCAUAAAAAUAGAUCAAGUAGAUUUCAAAAUUUAAAACUGCUCACCAGAUAUCAUUAAGAAAAUGAAUAAGCAAGAUACAAUUUUGGAGAAAACAUAGAACAUAUAUAUGUCAAAGGAGUGGAAUCUAGGAUACCAGAGCUGGGAGAUUAGUAGGGAAACAUGGGAUCAAGGUGUUUGAUGAAUUUCUGAAUGUGAACCUCUGAAAAUAUUGAUUUUGCUUUCAUUAGUCUGUUUUGUUAACCCAGAAAGGAAUUUAAGGACAACUCAUUCCCGAGAACUUCCUCUAAAUCCUUACUAUUUUCACCAAUUCCCUUCUCUCCUAUACCUUAAUUGAAACCAGUCACACCCUGAUGACAUCACCACCUUUUUCCCUUACCUCAAAACCUCAGGAUCAGGAGGAAAGGGACAGUAUUCUAAGUUUUCCCCAAGGCUUUGAGCAGCCUCCUAUUUCUGUGUGUAAAAAACUUGCUCCU
rnacentral:lncRNA from 10 species